rnacentral:lncRNA from 1 species
UAAGAUGAUAACUAUCAAUGACGACGAUGAUGACAAAGGAGAGGUCCUAGUAGUGUUCUUGCGCCCGCCCUUGGAAGAUGAAUAAGCCCAAGAGCUUGUAUAUAUAGUGUUUGUACUGCCAAUGAAUGUAUUUCCUGGUUAUUCUGCGGUGUCGAAAGAACAACUAGCGGACUGGUCAGCUAAUAACGAGUAGGAGAGAACUCUUUUAUCUGCCAUGGUAGUGUGUCUUUUCUUGUUUGCUUCUUGAUGUCGGACAGCGGAGCUCGUCGGUUAAUGUUCACUGGUCAUUUUGCAGUUGGUGCUGGCAAAUGAUUGAUGCUUUUAGUGAGUUCUUCAGCUUUACUGUCGUGUUCAAGUUCGCACUAUUUUACUUACGGUUUACAAACGAGACGGCAAAUCCCUAGCAACUAUGCAUACAAUUAUUGGCAAGGCCAUGAAAACUAUGCAUACAAUUAUUGGCAAGGCCAUGAAAAGCAGGGAUUGCGAAGCUUAUCCACAAGGGCAGGGCAAUCAGAUUUCACUAUCGUUGCUGAGGUCCGUGUUGGUUGCAUAGCUCAGAGCCGCCACCAAGAGGGCCCUAAAUUGGGCAAUGAGUUAAGUCUUCAACAUCAUUAUGUCAUAGCGGGCAAGAAAGCCACCGGACAUGACGUCUUCAUCUCGAGAUGAAGAUUAAGGAGUCGUCUGAAUUUGGAAAUUGGGGUCCAAUCCUCAGAGCUCUUGGAAUAUGUCUGAAUUGAAAUUCAAAAUACACUAGGAAUUGAAAACUCUUGGAAAAUGGAAAUCGAGAUUCCUAGACUUGAGACUGGAUAUUGAAAAUUUAUUCCAAGAAGUAUUGAAGUAUCCUCCUCAACCAAUUCAUUUAAGCUUCACCAUGUCCGGAUUGACCCUCCACCACUACCAGACGUCUGCUCCACCGUACUCUCCUGUAGUCGUCAUCGAACUCUUGCCGGGCGUCACCAGACUUUUGACAACACCAUAAGACUCUAGCGAAGCUGUCAAACUCACGUCGAAGUAGUAGACUUCCACUCCGUUUCCAGACUAUGCCAAUGUCGCCAAGCUUCUACUACCACUGAUAGACGUUCACUCUGCCGUACUUUCAUCAUGGAACUCCAGACUUCCUCCAACGCUGGACUUCAGUCAAUGCUGCCAGAUUUUCCCCAAAACCGCUAGACUUCUGUUAUCAUUUCCGAACUUUCGUUGAUAUUGCCAAACUGUUACAUCCACGAAUGGACCUCUGCCAUGUUGGAGGACCACCAUACUUCCGCCACCUUCACCAAAAACUUCCGUUAUCAUUUCCGAACUUUCUUUGAUGUUGCCAAACUGUUCGCCAAACUUACGUAGCUGAUAAUUGGAUUUUUCGAUGAUGUGGCCUGAAUUCUAUCGACGUGCCUCGACAUUUGCUCCCAUUUUGCCAAACUUCCACCAUUUUCGUUCGACUUUCGUCGCCAUUGCCAAGCUUCAACCACCGCCAACAAACUGUAUCAAUGCCGUGGUUGAAUUUUUGUCGCCAUCACACAUUUGACUACAGUCCACAGCUACUGAUAUACUUCCUAUACCACCGUCCUUUCACUGAUGUCACCAAACUUCCGCCGCACCACCUAACCACCACCCCACCAUACUUUUGCCCCUGUCAUUGGACUUCCACCGCCGCUAUCAAACCUCCGCCCCAACACCUUAUUACUUACCAGUUACCACCAAAUUACUUGCCAAAUACGGACUUUUUAAUAACUCAAUUUUCGCUGAUAUUUUCCUAAUUCUCGGUUCCUGCAUCGAGACACGGCCCUGCGAUUUCUAGCUAAGAGACCUUCCACAAACAUUUCAAAGAAUCUCCUGGUAGUUUAGAACCGCCUCCGGUCAAGGGGUUGAGAGAUAGAGGAUGACUUGACAGAGAACUUCCACGGGCAAGGUUCUUUUGGGCUGCAAGACACAGAGCCUCCCGAGGAUCACAAAAGACUAGAGCUGCAGAGAUCUGCUACGCUAGACAGAGUUCAUGACAUGUUAAAUUAAAAACAUUCACUUUUAAAUCCAGGCAAGUCCCCAACAACAGUAAACGGGAAAGAGAAGAAAGAAAACCAUAGCGCCAUUCAAAAUGAAUACCUACCCACACACUCCCGUGUUUCCCUAUCCCCAAAAUCCCAAUUCACAAAUUCUCUCGCCAUAUCUUCACCCCCAAUUGUAGUAGUCUAUAACCUAUCAACACGUUACCAAAACUAACACUAGCAGCACAGCAUGAACAUAGUAGCAUCGUCAUUUUUCUCCAAGCCACAGCAUUUUAUAGACACAAAAAUAUACCCAAUAGUGAGGAGACAUCUCAUUCGCUAAUGACACUUCUUAUGAAGACCCCAAGCAUUUCUGUAGGCGGUUGCAUCAAACAUUAAGGACCGGUUUUAGCACGCUUCAUUCCGAUUAUGUUUGAGUUUGACGUGAAAGGGGAGACGCUGCCGCUUGGUCCGGGGCUUUCCUCUCUGUAAUUGGAGUUGAGCAGCGCUAGUUCCUUUAGUUGUUGCCUCUUAUACAGAUCGUGUGACUCUUCCUGCAACAUUCAACGAAUGGAAAAGAAUCCGAGCUGAAAUGGCUAUGUGGGACUCUCCACUUUGCAAGUGAUACUUGUAAUCUGUCUGUCAAGAAAAUUGAGAAGGCUAGUAUUCUAUACCACAGGUCUAAGCACUUCUUCUAUGAUCUCUGUGGCUUGUCUCAAUCGCAGGUCCACGAUAUUAGCAGGCAAUUCAGCUUCAAUUAUAAGGUGCAGAGGCUCGUUCAAAUGCUCAUACCCUGGUCUGCCCCUCAAGGAGUCCUCCUGUAAUAUGUGAGAAAACCGAAAAGUUGAAUAUAACCCAAUGUCCAUCGGCUUACAAAAUGUGGGGUUAUUAUAUACUAGAGAGGUGGAUCAUGGAUGAAUAUUUGCUUAUCAUCUUGUUUAUCUAUAAAACUCAAAAACCAACUUCAAAAUGUUCUUACCUUCUCAGGGUCCUUUAUCGAGCCGUUCCCUCUGAUGAAGACACGACAACCAGUUGAGAGUUCCACACGCUUUAGUGAGUUUCCUCUGGGUCCAAGGAGUCGACCCACAAAAUUGAACUGACAUGUUCAGCAACAAAAGGAUAUCAUUAAACUAAAUUCUAACAGACUCAAGCAUAUGUAAAUAUGUAAUACAGUUGCAAUUUAAGAUAGGAUAGCUUACAUUGGGGUAGCUAUCCACCGGAAUAUCUAGACGCAAUAUCUUCUUCACAACGUGAGAAUUCGGACUUGCUGGUGCACGCCAGUCCAUAUUCAUUCCGUCUGUCCCAAACCGCUGUCAUAUGACGAGUUCAAUGACAUAUCAUAGCAAUGGCCAAUGAGACAUCCCAUUUUCGAAAAAAUCAAAUGAUGAACUAAUGAAGUAUUCAAAUGGCGGGGAACUUGAUGCAAUACCACUCAAUUUGUGCAGCAGUUUCCAGGAGGAGUAACGAUACUCAAAUGAACAAGUGAAGAACAUUUUCUUACCUGGCGAGGCAGAGAAUUCCAAGAUGGUUCGUCAUUACGGUGGGGGCUAACGGAUGGGCGCUGCUGAGGUGUUGAUCCAAAGAAGCUGAACCCUUGGUGCUGGCUAGGGGCAAUUCCAGAAACCCUCAAUAUCUCUACUUACAUAGAAACAAGAAAAACUAUCACUUAAACAAAAAAUUCAAAUAAUCAUAGGCAAAUAGCAUAAUCAUUAUAAACAUUGAUUUGGAAGCGAGAACUGAACAUAGAUAAGAAGAAAAAGAAGCAAAAUGAGACCUUGAUUGAGAAUGCGAGUGACGAUGGGAAGGACCUCAGUGAAAGGACCGAGAUUGUUGUACUCUUCCAACAGCUCCGCCAGAUAUUGCCGCUGCUGAACACUGCUUGCAAAAAAAGAACAGUUCCAGAUCAAUCAGAUGUGACACCACUAGUAAUUCAAAUAGAAACGAAGCUAAGAGAUAGUACCUCAUGAUGUUAUCCAGAUUCGGAGGGAGAUGAUUUUGGUGAUAAGGAUGAUGACGGUGAGGUGAGACUGCGGCGGAGGACGGUGGUGGAGUUGCAGUAGCGGGCGAGAAAUUGCGAGCGUACAAGCCAGACAUGAUUGUUACCUAUUGAAGAAGCGGAAUUAAGAUGGGGGAGUCGAAAUCUACGUGCGGCGGACAGAGAUGACUACGGAGCUGUGUGUGAAAGAAGACAGGGACGCGGCAAUGGAAGGCGCGUGUUAGCUUUUGCCUGUGCUUCUUUUCUAUUCUACCACUAUACUUCUGUUAUCUUACAUAUUGCACCCUAUAAAUUUUGUAUGCAUAAAAUUAAGGCUUACAAGUUAUAAAUCUAAACAAACAUGCACCAUCACCUAUUGGUUUAUUACAAAUCUAUACACCACCUUUUUGACAUGAAACAACGUUAACGAACGUCACACUCUUUUAAAAAUGUAAAAAUUGCUCUAUUCAAAUUUACGAAUUUUAGAAGCGUUGAUUAAAUAUAGUAGAUCCGACGGUUCAAAUUAUUUAAUAAGCAAGGUGAGAAAUUAGAAUCCAACAGAAUACACAAGAAUUAGGAGAGAAUUAGUAAACUAAUUUCUUCUAGAAACUAGUAAUUAAGCGGAACUCACAAAUCCAAUGAAUCAUCUACCUGAUUUGAUUAGCAUUUCUUUCUUCUUUUAGUUUCCUUAUUGUUUCUUAUUUGGACGUCACCCACAGCCUUUUUCUCGCGAGCAUGUAAAAAAAUUUGCUGAAAUAGUACCAUAUAAACUGACCCCCACUCAUCACUUUUGGUGAUUCAUAACAGAGACAGAGAGAUACUUGGAGAUGGGGAAAGAGUACUGUGUAACGGGGGGAACUGGGUUCAUAGCGGCUUACUUGGUCAAGGCUCUGCUUCUCGAUGGCCACGUCGUCAGGGCCACUGUCCGCGACCCAGGUACUUGGUACCCUCCAGUACUCGUAUUCAUGAUUUCAUGUGGUGUAAAUAGUCUGUCAAUCCAAACUUACAGUAAGUAGUUUUGGGUUUGUGAAGGGGACAUGGAGAAAGUUGGGUUUCUGUUGAAAUUCAAGGGAGCCAAAGAGAGGCUGAAGCUUGUGAAAGCUGAUUUGUUGGUUCCUGCAAGUUUUGAUGACGCUGUUCGAGGAGUGGAUGGUGUUUUCCACACUGCUUCCCCUGUUCUCGUCCCUUAUGAUCAUAACAUUCAGGCAAGUAACUACUUAAUACUUAGUUUAUGAUCCCAUGUUCAUAUAUAUAAACAUCCUACUUUUAAUGGUGUUUCCAAAGACAUUUGUAGGAUUUGACUGAUACAAUCGAUUUCACUGGUUGAUAAUUCAAAAAUCUCAUUGAUUCGAUCGUUGCGAAAACCUCUCAAAGGAUCCAUCAAAUGGUUGUGUCGUAACAGGCAACUCUGAUAGAUCCAUGCAUAAAGGGAACGCUGAACGUGCUGAACUCCUGCUCAAAAUCCAAAACCGUGAAGCGCGUAGUUCUCACUUCCUCGUGCUCUUCCAUCCGUUACCGUUACGAUUCGCACCAAGUCUCCCCUCUCAACGAGUCUCACUGGAGCGACCUCGACUACUGCAAAUCUUACAAUGUAAGGAGGGUUACUAAACGACGCCCUGAUUUUCGAAUUAAACGACGUCCUGGUUUUCGAAUUAAACGACGUUCUACAUGCAUAAUGACCUAAACGUCCAUUCCAUAAAAAUGAAAAACAUGAAAAACUUACUAGUUCAAUCCAAAAAACUCUUAUUUAGUAUGUUUUAGUUGGUCGAAAACACUCUCGACGAACCACGGCUUAAAAUUGGAAAGGUACGAAAUUGAAUUUUGGAUAUGGAAAAAAAAAUCGGACAGAACGCCGGUCCGUUCGAUUUUUUUUUAAAAUUAAAUUUUUUAUUCAAACGGACUGCGGCGCCGUCCGUCUGGGUCAAAAAUAAAAAAUAAAAAAUUUACACGCAUUAUUGAGGGUUACCUGAUCUGAAAGUCGUCAAUCUUCAAGCUCAGAACUUCAAUUUCUCGUCGAAUCUUCGAGUUAGGAACUUCAACUUCUGCCGAAACUUUGAGCUUUUGUGUUUUAGAUUGAAUGUGUUUGUCGAAGAUUGAACUUCUUAUAAAUUUUCACUGUUUACGGAAGGAUAAUUUAGUAAUUCACUAUUUUAGAACGUCGUUUAAUUCGAAAACUAGGGCGUCGUUUAGGGAUUCAAAUCUACUCAUUAGCUAGCUCCCUUUCAAACCAACUUAUAUGUUUACAAAAUCUCCACAUGCUGCUGCAGUUGUGGUACGCAUUCGCGAAGACAAGUGCUGAGAAAGAAGCAUGGAUGAUGGCUCAAGAGCAAGGAAUCGAUCUGGUGGUUGUGAACCCCUCCUUCGUGGUGGGCCCGCUCCUUGGUCCGCAACCCACGAGCACCCUCCUCCUCAUUCUCGCCAUCGUCAAAGGUCUCAAAGGCGAAAUUCCAAACACGGCAUUGGGGUUUGUUCACAUUGAGGAUGUGAUAGCUACCCAUGUCCUGGCUAUGGAGGACAGCAGAGCUUCAGGGAGGUUGGUGUGUUCCAGCUCCGUGGCUCAUUGGUCCCAAAUCAUUCACAUGCUCAAGGCCAAAUACCCUUACUACCCUUAUGAAACCAAGUACGUGACAUCUAUAUAUUUGCUAGUGACAAUAUCAAUAAGGUGUAUUUCGAUUUGAGUUAUGAAGAUUGAAUUGAAAUUGUUUGCGUGGGGCAGGUUGUCGAGCAUGAAAGGGGAUAGCAACGCGCACAGUAUGGACACGAGCAAGAUUGCGAAGCUGGGGUUGCCGCCAUUCAGAAGCUUGGAGGAGAUGUUUGAUGACUGCAUCAAGAGUUUCCAGGAGAAAGGGUUUCUACAUGCCCCAGCUGCUGCCAUUUUAUACUAGCUUUCAUCUUCCCUUCCUUGUUUGAGUUUCCCAGUCUCAUCUCAUCCCAUGUUUGUAUGGCAUCGGUUGGGUAAUGCCUAACAUCACAGUUUAAUUCGUGGAUGCAAAACAUUGAAUAAUUUAUGUUGCGAAUCUUUACCCCUCCCUUGGGCUGGAAUUACACGAGUUAGGCUCUUGUUUCUUCUUACAGAAUUUUAUCCUCCUCACACUUACUCAUUCACAUAGUGGUGUUUGAAACCUCAGUGCUGGACCAACGCAUCAACUUGGUGCAUAUUGUUAGUUAACAAUGCAAAAAGAAACUGUCAACAGAUGAAUACAAUUCAAUGAAAUAAAUAGCGGAGAACCUUUUUUUUAAAGGCAAAAAUUGCAGAGAACUAAACAACUGAAACUUGAUGUAUGAACAAAGUUGUGAUCGUGAAACUGAAUUCACUGCCUUUGAAGCUAUUUCAGUCUCUACCGAAGCUUCUGAAGGUAAUCACAGAGAUUGGAACUAUAAUGAAUCAGCAAUGGAAUAUAUUCCUUCUCUCAAGCAAUCACGCUACUGCUGUGUUUUUAAUUUGUUAUCUACCAUUUCUCCCCUAGGGUCAUGAUCUCAUGAGAAGAGGAUCCCACCAAUACUGCGAAGCUGGGGAAUCAAUUGCUGGAUUGGUGGAGAGUUUGUUAGUUCUCUUCCACACACUAACGUCCGGAUUUCUAACUCAUCAGUUUAGUUAGUGGGCUUCGACCCGAUCCGUUCGGCUGCUCAACCGAGAAUGAGGAAACGUAGCGAUACAAUCGUGGGUAUUGCGAGUGGGAUCUUGUAUCUCCAUGAGGAAAUCAGGUAAUAUUCUACUGGAUGUUGAGCAGAAAUUUUGGGAUGACUAGAAUAUUUACUUGUAGGGGUGGGAGUCCGGAUGGACAGCCUGAAAGGGGUUGUUUGCUCCCAACAAACAAAUCUCGUCAGUUGUUCUUUAAUUUUAAUCCAACGGUUGUUAAUUUGGUAGGGGCAAUUUAGUUUAUAAGUAAAUUAAAAUCUAAAAUACAAAAUUAAAAACCUAAUACUUUAUACCUUAAAUUUUAAAAUUCAAAAACUCAAACUUUAAAAUCUAAAAUUAACAACCAAUACUUUAGACCCUAAACUUCAAAAUCCAACAUUAAAAACCCAUACUUUGGACCGUAAACCUCAAAAUUCAAAAAUUCAAAAUCUAAAAUCCAAAAUUGAAAACUCAAUACACAAGAGCCUAAAUCUUAAAAUUCAAAAUUCAAAAUUGAAACUCAAAAUUCAAAAUCCAAAAUUGAAAAUCCAAAAUUAAAAUAUAAAUAAAACCAUUAAUAAUAAUUAAAUAAAUAAAAAUGCCUGAAAAGAAAAAAAAUAUAAAAUAACAGACACACCCCUAAUUUAAGUUAUGAUAUCACCCGUUAAAUCUAAUACCUAUAAUAGACGACCAGGAUUUUUUUUUGUUGCCGGCAUAUAAAUUAUUUUUCCUACGGAAGGCUCUUUUCAGUUUGGACUUUGAACUUUGGGCCCAGUUAGCCAUAAUGGGCGGGUAGCAGCUGGCUCGGCCCAAACGCACUAUGGUUUUUGAGACACGUGGCGGGAGAUGCCAGGAGACACGUGGCGGUAGAUGCCAGGACUUAACGCCUAAAAAGCUGGGGAGGAUAAAAAUGGCGGGAAGGAGGCAGACGGGGCAUCCACGUAGGUGUAAGUUGGCGGGAAAUGGGGAAAGGAGCAGAGUGAGUCGUCCACUAAUCCUUAUCUACCGUAACCCACUUGGCCACCUUUCCCGGCUGAGUCGUACAGAGAAAAACACAUGCCGGCGGUCCGGUCCCUUUUUCUUUUUUUGGUGAAAGUUGCAAGAACAGAACACAGUAUGACACGCGUUAAUUACUAACCGGGGCCUGUUCUUCCUUCCUUAACCUGGUCACGUGACUUUGUCGUGGAACCAAUUCCUUUAUUUUUUUCAUUUAUAAACGCAAAUAAUUAAUAAUUAUGGCGGUCACAUGACUUGGGUGCUCAGCUGAGUUGAUAAAUGUACAUCAUGUAAAUAAUAGUUGGUAAGAAAGUAUUAAUCUCUGCAUGGGUUAUGCAGGCAAGCUGACAGAAUGGUGGUGGUGUGAUACUACUCUUCAUUCUAUUUGGGUUGAUAUCCUUGACUUCUUUCUUUCAUAAUGCGACUACCCGCAUGACUUUGUUGACCGUUGGGGUGCCAGAUUGCCUCGGACUCGCCUCCGUACAGGUGAGUGAAUUGGUAAAACAUUCAAGUAGGGGAAGGUCGUUUUGGGAAGAGGACACUUCAGUGGCAUCACUUGUAAAUAUAACAAUAUUUUCCGUAUGAAAGCAACAACAGCAUCCAGUGAAUGUGUGGUUAUGGACCGGACAUAGUCCGUUGUGGAAAAGACACUCCAACUAAUAAUACCUACUCGCGGCGCAGCGUCAAAGAAAUGGGCCGCCAACCUCAAACCCCUCAAGAACUAAACUACUUCACGCGCACUCAAGGGUAGUAGAUCUGACGCGCAUCAAUUCGAACCCGGUGUGUACCACGCGAAUACUGAGGCGCGGGUUGAAUACUCUGGGCAUUUGUUUGAUCGUGGGUAACAGGCCCACAAUCUUGUUGCAAAGAAACGGAGCAAUGUGGACUAGUAGUCGGGAUUUUCUUGAAGUAUCGUUACGGCGUUACACCCGGCGCUACGGCUUGGUUGGCACAAAUAUAAUUUCUGAGUAUUUUUCUGAUCGAAUGAUAAAAUAUUUUAGAUGGCAAAAUUCCAUAUUGUUAUUCAAAUUUCGUUCAACUUUUCUGCUAAGCUAAGUCGGCGAGAUCACAAAACCCCUUUUCUCUUAAUUUUGUGUCGGGAUUGAUUUGCUAUUUUUCGCCUCUCAAUUUUCCUCACAUCCAUCCCCACUCUUUGCCUUUCUAAACUCUAACCCUUUUCUUUUAUCUUUCUCCUCUCUACUAGAACAGGUUGAUUUGUUAGUUUAGAUUGAUGCGUUAUUUAUAUUUUUUUUCGAGAAAUAUUUUAAUAAAUAAAAAAAUUGGUGAGAUCACAAUUAUUCUGAUUUGUGUUUUUUGUUGUUUUUUCUUUUUAUACUUAGUUGUUAUAAGAUAUUUUUUAUGUUGUCAUCUUUAUUGACUUAUCAACUUGUAUGAUGUUUAUGUUUAUUUUGGNNNNNNNNNNNNNNNNNNNNNNNNNNNNNNNNNNNNNNNNNNNNNNNNNNNNNNNNNNNNNNNNNNNNNNNNNNNNNNNNUAUAAUUUUUCAGUUUUAGAUUUACCUUUGUUGUUUGCCGCAUGAAAAUUCAUUUUCUCGUAUUCACCAAAGUCUCUGUAAAUGUAGACAUAAUUUUAUGUAAACUAAUGACAUUGUAUUUGAUUACCAUGACUAAAAUAAUAACCUUUGCAUGAAAUUUCACCCUCCAAACUCUUGUUUCACUUGAAAAUCCAACAUCCAAACGCAUGGAUUUACCACUUCCAUGAUAAUUUUUUAUCAUAUCUUGAUCACUUGUCGUUAAUAACAUACAAUUAAAACACAAACAACCACCAUUAUGACGGAUUACUUACUUAUCUGUUAGUACCAAAACCCGACUGCAAAUAUAACCUUUUCUUAAAAUGGAUGCAUAAUAGAAGGAAUUUAUUUAUUGGACCGGCGUUAUAUGCAAGUCCUGGUCAUAUUCAUGUAUUUGUCUCUACCAUAAACGGCUUCGAAACUGACAAAAAUUUCUGAGGACAUGGCAUGGCCAAUGAAUGGCUUGCGAGGCUGUGGCCGUGGAUUACACUUCUACAUGGCGGGUACCAAAAUCCUACGGCCAUGGCCAUGGCAGCUCACCUCCAUUUUAAACUUACUGUUUUAGACUUUAACCAUAACAGCAUUAUCAUUUGUUAUCAACGAAUUUAAUCAUUCGUCUCUCCAAGAGUCAUAAUUAGAAGUUGUCUAACACAAAAAAAAAA